GUAGGGAAUAUUGGUAAUCUGCGAAAGCGGGAACCAGCAACGCCGCGUGUGCGAAGAAGGCCUUCGGGUCGUAAAGCACUUUUCGGGAGGAAGAGGAAGGACUGUACUCCCGGAAUAAGUCUCGGCUAACUACGUGCCAGCAGCCGCGGUAAUACGUAGGAGGCAAACGUUAUCCGGAUUUACUGGGCGUAAAGCGCGUGUAGGCGGCAUUAUAAGUUGGACGUGAAAGCUCCCGGCUCAACUGGGAGAGGUCGUUCAAUACUGUAAGGCUUGAGGAUGGUAGAGGGAGGUGGAAUUCCGGGUGUAGUGGUGAAAUGCGCAGAUAUCCGGAGGAACACCAGUGGCGAAAGCGGCCUCCUGGACCAUUCCUGACGCUCAGACGCGAAAGCUAGGGUAGCAAACGGGAUUAGAAACCCUAGUAGUCC
rnacentral:rRNA from 1 species